rnacentral:rRNA from 1 species
GAUGAACGCUGGCGGCGUGCCUAAUACAUGCAAGUCGAGCGGUAAGGCCCCUUCGGGGGUACACGAGCGGCGGACGGCUGAGUAACACGUAGGAACGUACCCCAAAGUGAGGGAUAACUGCUCGAAAGAGUAGCUAAUACCGCAUGUGAUCCACGGAUUAAAGCUUUAUGCGCUUUGGGAACGGCCUGCGCCCGAUUAGCUUGUUGGUGAGGUAAUAGCUCACCAAGGCGAUGAUCGGUAGCUGGUCUGAGAGGAUGAUCAGCCAGACUGGGACUGAGACACGGCCCAGACUCCUACGGGAGGCAGCAGUAGGGAAUUUUCCACAAUGGGCGAAAGCCUGAUGGAGCAACGCCGCGUGCGGGAUGAAUGCCUUAGGGUUGUAAACUGCUUUUAAUAGUGACGAUUAUGACGGUAGCUAUUGAAUAAGGACCUGCUAACUACGUGCCAGCAGCCGCCGUAA